UACGUAGGGUGCGAGCGUUGUCCGGAAUUAUUGGGCGUAAAGAGCUUGUAGGUGGUUUGUCGCGUCUGCUGUGAAAAUCCGAGGCUCAACCUCGGACUUGCAGUGGGUACGGGCAGACUAGAGUGUGGUAGGGGAGACUGGAAUUCCUGGUGUAGCGGUGAAAUGCGUAGAUAUCAGGAGGAACACCGGUGGUGUAAACGGCUUUCUGGACCAUAACUGACACUGAGGCACGAAAGCGUGGGUAGCAAACAGG
rnacentral:rRNA from 1 species